GACGAACGCUGGCGGCGUGCCUAAUACAUGCAAGUAGAACGCUGAAGAGAGGAGCUUGCUCUUCUUGGAUGAGUUGCGAACGGGUGAGUAACGCGUAGGUAACCUGCCUUGUAGCGGGGGAUAACUAUUGGAAACGAUAGCUAAUACCGCAUAACAAUGGAUGCCACAUGUCAUUUAUUUGAAAGGGGCAAUUGCUCCACUACAAGAUGGACCUGCGUUGUAUUAGCUAGUAGGUGAGGUAAUGGCUCACCUAGGCGACGAUACAUAGCCGACCUGAGAGGGUGAUCGGCCACACUGGGACUGAGACACGGCCCAGACUCCUACGGGAGGCAGCAGUAGGGAAUCUUCGGCAAUGGGGGCAACCCUGACCGAGCAACGCCGCGUGAGUGAAGAAGGUUUUCGGAUUGGAAAGCUCUGCUGUAAGUCAAGAACGGGUGUGAGAGUGGAAAGUUCACGCUGUGACGGUAGCUUACCAGAAAGGGACGGCUAACUACGUG
rnacentral:rRNA from 1 species